rnacentral:misc_RNA from 1 species
AAGUCAUAACAAGGUUUCUGUAGGUGAACCUGCAGAAGGAUCAUUAGUGAACUUUAACGGCCUCCUCUCUCUGAGAGGCUGGCCAAUUCUCUUCUAUCCAACACAAGGCUACGGAGGAUUGCACUCUGGGUGGAUCUGUCCGGAUGGUGGGAGUCUGCCAGGCUGGGAAUUAAAUUCUCGGUGUGGUGACUCUUGCCCCAACUUUUUAACACUUUUACAAGGAAUAGAAUGAUCAACCAGGAUUGUCUUCGGACAUCUAAUCAUAUAUAACUUUUGACAACGGAUCUCUUGGUUCUCC